rnacentral:rRNA from 1 species
UGGGGGAGUAUUGCACAAUGGGGGGAACCCGUGAUGCAGCGACGCCGCGUGGGUGAAGAAGCGCCUCGGCGCGUAAAGCCCUGUCAGCAGGGAAGAAAAUGACGGUACCUGAAGAAGAAGCCCCGGCUAACUACGUGCCAGCAGUCGCGGUAAUAGAUGUU